rnacentral:rRNA from 1 species
AACGAACGCUGGCGGCAGGCUUAACACAUGCAAGUCGAACGCAUCCUUCGGGGUGAGUGGCAGACGGGUGAGUAACGCGUGGGAACGCGCCCUUCAGUUCGGGAUAACCCAGGGAAACUUGGGCUAAUACCGGAUACGUGCGAGAGCAGAAAGAUUUAUCGCUGAAGGAUCGGCCCGCGUCUGAUUAGCUAGUUGGUGGGGUAAUGGCCCACCAAGGCGACGAUCAGUAGCUGGUCUGAGAGGAUGAUCAGCCACAUUGGGACUGAGACACGGCCCAAACUCCUACGGGAGGCAGCAGUGGGGAAUAUUGGACAAUGGGCGCAAGCCUGACCCAGCCAUGCCGCGUGAGUGAUGGAGGCCUUAGGGUUGUAAAGCUCUUUCGUCCGGGACGAUAAUGACGGUACCGGAAGAAGAAGCCCCGGCUAACUUCGUGCCAGCCGCCGCAGUAA